GUUGGCGGUGGUACGCCCACAACAAAUCAAACAAUUAUAAAUCCAUAUUAUUAUAGUGCAGUAAAUGUAGCAGCCAUUCAACGAUCAUCAUCAUCAUCAUCAUCAUCAGCAUCUGUAUCGGUGACACCUACAUCACCAUCAAUUACAGGUGGACAACAACGUGGACAAACAACAGUGGCACUUUGAAACCAGUGAAACCAAAUAAAAUAAAAAAAAGGUCAAAGGAUAAUGACAAAAAAAUUGCUUUAAUUUUUUUUCCACAUCAAAUCAUACCACUACUACUACUACUACCAUAUAUAUAUGUUUCUUUUUCUUGAUAUGAUAUGAUAUAAAUCAACCAACACGCCCAUUAUACCUAUACCAAAAUCAUUGAUUGAUUGAUUGAUUGAUUGAUUGACAGAAAAUAAAUCAAUUCAAAUAAAAAUACCGGU